rnacentral:rRNA from 1 species
GAUGAACGCUAGCGGCAGGCCUAAUACAUGCAAGCCGAACGGCAAGCUGAGUAGCAAUACUUGACCUAGAGUGGCGUAAGGGUGCGUAACACGUAUGCAAUCUGCCCUCAACAGGAGGAUAGCUCCCCGAAAGGGGAAUUAACCCUCCAUGGGAUCUUAGAGUGGCAUCACUUAGAGAUUAAACCGCGAAGGGGUUGAGGAUGAGCAUGCGCAUGAUUAGUUAGUUGGCGGGGUAACGGCCCACCAAGACGAUGAUCAUUAGGGGAACUGAGAGGUUGAUCCCCCACACUGGCACUGAGAUACGGGCCAGACUCCUACGGGAGGCAGCAGUAAGGGAAUAUUGGACAAUGGGUGAGAGCCUGAUCC